AUUGAACGCUGGCGGCAGGCCUAACACAUGCAAGUCGAACGAGUGGCGGACGGGUGAGUAAUGUCUGGGAAACUGCCCGAUGGAGGGGGAUAACUACUGGACACGGUAGCUAAUACCGCAUACCAUCGGAUGUGCCCAGAUGGGAUUAGCUUGUAGGUGAGGUAACGGAUCACCUAGGCGACGAUCCCUAGCUGGUCUGAGAGGAUGACCAGCCAUCCGGGAAAUGAGAAACGGUCCAGACGGAGACGGGAGGCAGGAGUGGGGAAUAUUGAAUAAUGGGCGUAAGCCUGAGGUGGCCAGGGCGCGGAUAGAAGGAGGGCCUUCGGGUUGUAAAGUACUUGCAGCGGGGAGGCGUUACCCGCAGAAGAAGCACCGGCUAACUCCGUGCCAGCAGCCGCGGUAAGAC
rnacentral:rRNA from 1 species